ensembl:lncRNA
AUACUAACGAGGAAAGCGUGGCGGCGGGUGAGAAGGCGAACGACACUUUGGAAGGUUGACAGCACGCGCGAACAGCCCGUCAAUAAGCCUUGGAGUCCCUGUUAAGCCUUGUCUCAUGCUCAAUCGCUGUCACGGCUCGGAAACAAGGUUGGCACAUUGAAACGAUCGAAACAGAAACCAUCACAACAUGAAUGAACCAAGCAAAUGCUCUUAAGUCUUGCCUCAUAAGUCAUUACGUGAAGCAUCAGAGCAUAAACCAUCACAACAUAAAUGAACCAAGCGAAUGCUCUUAAGUCUUGGCUCAUAAGUCAUUACAUAAAC